UGGGGAAUAUUGCACAAUGGGGGAAACCCUGAUGCAGCGACGCCGCGUGAGUGAAGAAGGUCUUCGGAUCGUAAAACUCUGUCCUUGGUGACGAAGGAAGUGACGGUAACCAAGGAGGAAGCCCCGGCUAACUACGUGCCAGCAGCCGCGGUAAUACGUAGGGGGCGAGCGUUGUCCGGAUUUACUGGGCGUAAAGGGUGAGUAGGCGGUCAUAUAAGUCAGGUGUAAAAAGCUAAGGCUUAACCAUAGUAAGCACUUGAAACUGUAUGACUUGAGUGCAGGAGAGGUAAGCGGAAUUCCUAGUGUAGCGGUGAAAUGCGUAGAUAUUAGGAGGAACACCGGUGGCGAAGGCGGCUUACUGGACUGUAACUGACGCUGAGUCACGAAAGCGUGGGUAGCAAACAGG
rnacentral:rRNA from 1 species